GAUGAAGAACGUAGCGAAAUACGAUAAGUAAUGUGAAUUGCAGAAUUCAGUGAAUCAUCGAAUCUUUGAACGCACAUUGCGCCCGCCAGUAUUCUGGCGGGCAUGCCUGUUCGAGCGUCAUUACAACCCUCAGGCCCCCGGGCCUGGCGUUGGGGAUCGGCGGAGCCCCCCGUGGGCACACGCCGUCCCCCAAAUGCAGUGGCGGUCCCGCCGCAGCUUCCAUCGCGUAGUAGCUAACACCUCGCGACUGGAGAGCGGCGCGGCCACGCCGUAAAACACCCAACUCUUCUGAAGUUGACCUCGAAUCAGGUAGGAAUACCCGCUGAACUUAAGCAUAUCAAUAAGCGGAGGA
rnacentral:misc_RNA from 1 species